rnacentral:rRNA from 1 species
CACGUAGGGUGCGAGCGUUGUCCGGAAUUAUUGGGCGUAAAGAGCCCGUAGGCGGUGUGUCGCGUCGGCCGUGAAAACCUGCAGCUUAACUGUGGGCUUGCGGUCGAUACGGGCAUCACUGGAGUUCGGCAGGGGAGACUGGAAUUCCUGGUGUAGCGGUGAAAUGCGCAGAUAUCAGGAGGAACACCGGUGGCGAAGGUGGGUCUCUGGGCCGAUACUGACGCUGAGGAGCGAAAGCGUGGGGAGCGAACAGG